rnacentral:rRNA from 1 species
UGGGGAAUAUUGGACAAUGGGCGCAAGCCUGAUCCAGCCAUGCCGCGUGAGUGAUGAAGGCCCUAGGGUUGUAAAGCUCUUUCACCGGUGAAGAUAAUGACGGUAACCGGAGAAGAAGCCCCGGCUAACUUCGUGCCAGCAGCCGCGGUAAUACGAAGGGGGCUAGCGUUGUUCGGAAUUACUGGGCGUAAAGCGCACGUAGGCGGAUCGAUCAGUUAGGGGUGAAAUCCCGGGGCUCAACCCCGGAACUGCCUCUAAUACUGUCGAUCUGGAGUUCGAGAGAGGUGAGUGGAAUUCCGAGUGUAGAGGUGAAAUUCGUAGAUAUUCGGAGUAACACCAGUGGCGAAGGCGGCUCACUGGCUCGAUACUGACGCUGAGGUGCGAAAGCGUGGGGAGCAAACA